CCUGGUGGUGCAAAUAGCUAAUGCACUUGGUUUCUAACCAAAAGGUUGGCAGUUCAAGUCUACCCAGCGGCA
rnacentral:tRNA from 1 species